GCAAUUUAAAUAUAUAAACAGCAUGUCAGGCACACAUUAUUUAUCAUUGUAAAAAAACAUAUUCCAUACUCCAUUUUUAUUUUUUACAUUUUUAUGGCAAAGAAAAACUACCCUCCUCUCCUCAUUUUUACGGUGAUUUUCUAGAUCUUCCUAUCUCUACACAGGAACAUGUGCUGGCACUCAGAGAAGAUCUUUUGUCCGUAAUAAACACAGGAACAUGUACUGGCACGCAAGGAGACUUUUUUUUGCCCCUAAAUCUCCCAAUAGUAAAUCAUAUAGUAGACAUCUGCAACUUCACUUCUUCGAUGGCUAAAAGUUCC